rnacentral:rRNA from 1 species
UACGUAGGGUGCGAGCGUUGUCCGGAAUUAUUGGGCGUAAAGAGCUCGUAGGCGGCUUGUCGCGUCGGAUGUGAAAGCCCGGGGCUUAACUCCGGGUCUGCAUUCGAUACGGGCAGGCUAGAGUUCGGUAGGGGAGAUCGGAAUUCCUGGUGUAGCGGUGAAAUGCGCAGAUAUCAGGAGGAACACCGAUGGCGAAGGCGGAUCUCUGGGCCGAUACUGACGCUGAGGAGCGAAAGCGUGGGGAGCGAACAGG